GACGUAGGGGGCCAGCGUUGUUCGGAAUUACUGGGCGUAAAGGGCUCGUAGGUGGCCAACUAAGUCGGACGUGAAAUCCCUCAGCUUAACUGGGGAACUGCGUCCGAUACUGGAUGGCUUGAGUUUGGGAGAGGGAUGCGGAAUUCCAGGUGUAGCGGUGAAAUGCGUAGAUAUCUGGAGGAACACCGGUGGCGAAGGCGGCAUCCUGGACCAACACUGACACUGAGGAGCGAAAGCCAGGGGAGCAAACGGG
rnacentral:rRNA from 1 species